CAGCAGCCGCGGUAAUACGUAGGUGGCAAGCGUUGUCCGGAAUUAUUGGGCGUAAAGGGCUCGCAGGCGGUUUCUUAAGUCUGAUGUGAAAGCCCCCGGCUCAACCGGGGAGGGUCAUUGGAAACUGGGAAACUUGAGUGCAGAAGAGGAGAGUGGAAUUCCACGUGUAGCGGUGAAACGCGUAGAGAUGUGGAGGAACACCAGUGGCGAAGGCGACUCUCUGGUCUGUAACUGACGCUGAGGAGCGAAAGCGUGGGGAGCGAACAGGAUUAGAUACCCCAGUAGUCCCUGUCUCUUAUAC
rnacentral:rRNA from 1 species